GGGGUUGUGGCUCAGUGGUAGAGUGCUCGCCUCACAUGUGUGUGAAGCCCUGGGUUCAAUCCCCAGCACCACA
rnacentral:tRNA from 1 species